ensembl:snoRNA SNORD30 Small nucleolar RNA SNORD30
AUAUAUGAUGGCUUCCUUGGAAUCUUGUUUGACUGAUAUUUGGCUGCUGGGACUAGAGUUCUUAUAUGC